rnacentral:lncRNA from 1 species
AGUAUGAGAUCUGGAGGGGAGAAACGUCCAAACUCUAUCAGAUAUGCCAUCUAGGGGGUGUGAGAAAACACAUAUGAACCUGUGUUUUCCUUGAGACCCUCUUUCCAGACACUGCAUGGUUAGAAGCUCCAGUCCAGCACAUGCCAACAUGAAAGAACUGCUGCUCAAAAUUCUGCCUUUGGAAAAUGUUCUGCAGGGAAGGAGCAGCCAUUGGAACUGUGGGGGCAAUUUUCCUUAUGUGAGAAACGGGGUUAAACUGAGAGUUUGGAAGAUCUUCUGAAACUGACUAUAUAACUCCUGGGUUCUAAUAGAAAGGAUUAAAAAAAUGGAUCUAAGUUAUGCAAGAAGAAAGAGGCAAAAAACAGAAUGACAUAAUAAAAAUCAACUGAUUAGCCAUAAGAUAAUGGUAUAUGUGUGAAUUAGGCUGAAGAGUGAAAACAUCAAAAAGAAAUAUGACAAUUCAGAAUUGAGGAAGGGAAGAAAAAAUCUUUAUUGUCACAGUAUCUGUUCUGCUUAGCAAAAUCUUGAUCUAUUUCUUUCUACUGUACUUUAGGUUUAAUCUGUAAAUCUUGGCUGCUUUCUGAGGAAAUGAAACAUACAGAUCAUUUUAUACAGUUCUACUUAAAAUAUUGUUUUAUCUGGAUAAAUCACACUACUA